UGACGCUUUCAUCUCUUUUCUGUGUGAGGGGGAGCUUUACUUUUCUUUCGUGCUGCCUUUGAUUUCAUAACAAGCUGACGGGAUGAUGCACGAAGCUCUG
rnacentral:rRNA from 1 species